GUCAGUGUGUUAAGCCAGCACUGACUGGACAUGGGAUAGGACAGCAUCCCUUUCUGCUGGAACUAACCCCUCCAGUUGGUUCUCUGUGAGGCUCUUCCAUGUCUCUUGGAUUAGAGCACAGCACUUCACAUGUGUAACAAGAGCUGACACUCAACGUCAAGGUGCUGAUAUUCUCAGUGAGAAGACACAGAGCUAUGCUGUGAACUGAGAAUCACGACAGCGCUUCCGUAAAGGCUUCUCAGAGCAUUAGAUUAGGGAACUUCACCACUGCUAUGUCGCUCACUGUCCAUGCUCAUCAGAGACCUUUCUGGAGCUUUGUCUCUGCUUGCCUGCCUCUCGUGCCCACUCUUCAGAACACGGCGGUUGCAUGGAGACUUUGAGCUUUCACAAGGUCCACCACAUCACAGUAAAAGAGACCUGGUACACUUCUGGAUACCCGGCUUUGACACCAACACCAACUCUUCCAGAAGCUCAUCAUGGGAUCUCAAGCAAAGUCAACCACUGGCUGUGGACACCUGUGCACAGGUGGCUAGACCAGAUCUUCAAAUUCUGCUGACUCCCAGGGCAUUGGAUCUCCUCAGUAUCUAUCUCCCACAGCGGAUAUGUGAAAGUCGUCACAGGGGCAAUACUACUCCUCAUUUGUUCUGUUUUUCUGUGGUUUGGAGUUCUUUUUUGUACUCCUUCUUACACUCUUCACAAGCAGCAGUACAAGCAGGCAAAUGCUUUUAGGGUUCAUUGUGAAAUGAGGAUGGGGUGCAGGAGAAUUGUGGGAUGUAAAAUGGUAGUCUAAAUGUCCAUGAGCCUGGUGUAGAAAGCAGAUUUUAAUCUUUUUAAUAAACUUGUAAACUCAGCUUGUC
rnacentral:lncRNA from 1 species